GACGAACGCUGGCGGCGUGCUUAACACAUGCAAGUCGAACGCUGAAGCCGAGAGCUUGCUCUUGGUGGAUGAGUGGCGAACGGGUGAGUAACACGUGAGUAACCUGCCCCUGUCUCUGGGAUAAGCGCUGGAAACGGUGUCUAAUACUGGAUAUGCACGAUCACCGCAUGGUGUGUUGUGGGAAAGAUUUAUCGGACGGGGAUGGACUCGCGGCCUAUCAGCUUGAUGGUGAGGUAAUGGCUCACCAUGGCGACGACGGGUAGCCGGCCUGAGAGGGUGACCGGCCACACUGGGACUGAGACACGGCCCAGACUCCUACGGGAGGCAGCAGUGGGGAAUAUUGCACAAUGGGCGCAAGCCUGAUGCAGCAACGCCGCGUGAGGGAUGACGGCCUUCGGGUUGUAAACCUCUUUUAGUAGGGAAGAAGCGUAAGUGACGGUACCUGCAGAAAAAGCACCGGCUAACUACGUGCCAGCAGCCGCGGUAAUACGUAGGGUGCAAGCGUUGUCCGGAAUUAUUGGGCGUAAAGAGCUCGUAGGCGGUUUGUCGCGUCUGUCGUGAAAUCCCGAGGCUCAACCUCGGGCUUGCGGUGGGUACGGGCAGGCUAGAGUGCGGUAGGGGAGAUUGGAAUUCCUGGUGUAGCGGUGGAAUGCGCAGAUAUCAGGAGGAACACCGAUGGCGAAGGCAGAUCUCUGGGCCGUUACUGACGCUGAGGAGCGAAAGCAUGGGGAGCGAACAGGAUUAGAUACCCCUGGUAGUCCAUGCCGUAAACGUUGGGAACUAGAUGUAGGGCCUGUUCCACGGGUUCUGUGUCGUAGCUAACGCAUUAAGUUCCCCGCCUGGGGAGUACGGCCGCAAGGCUAAAACUCAAAGGAAUUGACGGGGGCCCGCACAAGCGGCGGAGCAUGCGGAUUAAUUCGAUGCAACGCGAAGAACCUUACCAAGGCUUGACAUAUACGAGAACGGGCGAGAGAUCGUCAACUCUUUGGACACUCGUAUACAGGUGGUGCAUGGUUGUCGUCAGCUCGUGUCGUGAGAUGUUCGGUUAAGUCCGGCAACGAGCGCAACCCUUGUCCUAUGUUGCCAGCACGUGAUGGUGGGAACUCAUGGGAUACUGCCGUGGUCAACACGGAGGAAGGUGGGGAUGACGUCAAAUCAUCAUGCCCCUUAUGUCUUGGGCUUCACGCAUGCUACAAUGGCCGGUACAAAGGGCUGCGAUACCGUAAGGUGGAGCGAAUCCCAAAAAGCCGGUCUCAGUUCGGAUUGGGGUCUGCAACUCGACCCCAUGAAGUCGGAGUCGCUAGUAAUCGCAGAUCAGCAACGCUGCGGUGAAUACGUUCCCGGGCCUUGUACACACCGCC
rnacentral:rRNA from 1 species